AGAGGGAAAAACAAAAAACAAAUAAUAACGGGGGCUUUUUUAAUAAAAAAUUUUUUUAAAAGGGUGGCAAAUACGGUUCCCCGCCCCCAGAGAACCCCGAAAUUUAGGGUAGCCAUUUUAUUGGCCCUAAAACUUUCUUGACCUUUGAUAAUUUUGGUGGAAAUCCCGUACCUAAAAAGUGGGAAUCCCCGGGAUUAUUUUUGAUUUUAGGGCGGGGGGAGUUAAUGGUAACUCCCCACGGUUUGGGUGGAAAUCCUUUAAUCCUUGGAGAACCCCUUGUGUUGAAGGCGGGUUAGUGGAACGACCUAAUUUUUUGGAUGAAAACUAAGGGCCCAACCCGGAUUCAUACCCGGUAAUUGGGGUUGAAGGAAUUACUGGGUUGCACCGCUUCACCUCUUCAAGCGGAAAGAAGCUGUUCUCCUCCUCCUUUGUUUUCCCCCGCUUCUUAAUCUUAAACGAAUUGGCGGAGGAACACCACAACGCAUGGAGCCUGCGGUAUAAUUGAUUUUGGCCCCGGUCAUCUCACCAGGAGCGACAGCCGUAUGAUUGCCAGGUGGAUGACCUUGCUGGCCAAGCAAGUGGAAAUCAUUCCCCCGUCUGCUCUAAUCUUGAUCGCACUGGUCACCCCCACCAACCCAAACUUCCCCCCCCUUUUGAGACCCCAGUUUUUCUCGAAGGACUGU
rnacentral:rRNA from 1 species